CUGAUUACAAAUUUUGGACUUUGGGUUUGAAUUCAAUAGAACUGUUGACUUCUUUGGAAAGAAAACCCAUGCCUUGCCCAUAUUGAACUCUCCACAGACUUCCACCUACAAUCAGUGGAAUGAAAGUUGCUCUGCCAGCCAACGAUUCACAGCUCCCACUGCACGCUCCUACUUUGAAUCUUAGGUGUGUAAGGCUUCUCCCACCAGGAGAAGCAGUGUGAGGGCAGGCACAGCAGCUCAGCAGCCUGGCUUGGACUAAACCCUGGCUGAAUGGUGGAGACAGAAAGGGAGAAAGACAAGACUAUCUGGUUUGGGAUACUGCAGCUAAGAAGCCAACAGAAAGGUUUACUGAAA